GUCCUGGUAGCUCAGCUGGUAGAGCGAACGGCUGUUAACCGUUAGGUCAGAGGUUCGAGUCCUCUCCAGGACG
rnacentral:tRNA from 1 species